ACCAGACUCCUACGGGAGGCAGCAGUGGGGAAUAUUGCACAAUGGGGGAAACCCUGAUGCAGCGACGCCGCGUGAGCGAAGAAGUAUUUCGGUAUGUAGAGCUCUCUCAGCAGGGAAGAAAUUGACGGUACCUGAGUAAGAAGCUCCGGCUAAAUACGUGCCAGCAGCCGCGGUAAUACGUAUGGAGCAAGCGUUAUCCGGAUUUACUGGGUGUAAAGGGAGCGUAGGCGGCCUGCCAAGUCUGAUGUGAAAUACCGGGGCUCAACCCCGGGGCUGCAUUGGAAACUGGCAGGCUGGAGUGUCGGAGAGGCAGGCGGAAUUCCUAGUGUAGCGGUGAAAUGCGUAGAUAUCAGGAGGAACACCGGUGGCGAAGGCGGCCUUCUGGACUGCAACUGACGUUGAGGCCCGAAAGCGUGGGGAGCAAACAGGAUUAGAUACCCCCGUAA
rnacentral:rRNA from 1 species